rnacentral:rRNA from 1 species
AUUGAACGCUGGCGGCAGGCCUAACACAUGCAAGUCGAGCGGCAGCACGGGUACUUGUACCUGGUGGCGAGCGGCGGACGGGUGAGUAAUGCCUAGGAAUCUGCCUGGUAGUGGGGGAUAACGCUCGGAAACGGACGCUAAUACCGCAUACGUCCUACGGGAGAAAGCAGGGGACCUUCGGGCCUUGCGCUAUCAGAUGAGCCUAGGUCGGAUUAGCUAGUUGGUGAGGUAAUGGCUCACCAAGGCGACGAUCCGUAACUGGUCUGAGAGGAUGAUCAGUCACACUGGAACUGAGACACGGUCCAGACUCCUACGGGAGGCAGCAGUGGGGAAUAUUGGACAAUGGGCGAAAGCCUGAUCCAGCCAUGCCGCGUGUGUGAAGAAGGUCUUCGGAUUGUAAAGCACUUUAAGUUGGGAGGAAGGGCAUUUACCUAAUACGUAAGUGUUUUGACGUUACCGACAGAAUAAGCACCGGCUAACUCUGUGCCAGCAGCCGCGGUAAUACAGAGGGUGCAAGCGUUAAUCGGAAUUACUGGGCGUAAAGCGCGCGUAGGUGGUUCGUUAAGUUGGAUGUGAAAUCCCCGGGCUCAACCUGGGAACUGCAUUCAAAACUGUCGAGCUAGAGUAUGGUAGAGGGUGGUGGAAUUUCCUGUGUAGCGGUGAAAUGCGUAGAUAUAGGAAGGAACACCAGUGGCGAAGGCGACCACCUGGACUGAUACUGACACUGAGGUGCGAAAGCG